UACGGAGGGCGCGAGCGUUACCCGGAUUUACUGGGCGUAAAGGGCGUGUAGGCGGCUUGGGGCGUCCCAUGUGAAAGGCCACGGCUCAACUGUGGAGGAGCGUGGGAUACGCUCAGGCUAGACGGUGGGAGAGGGUAGUGGAAUUCCCGGAGUAGCGGUGAAAUGCGCAGAUACCGGGAGGAACGCCGAUGGCGAAGGCAGCCACCUGGCUCACUGGUGACGCUGAGGCGCGAAAGCUGGGGGAGCGAAAGGG
rnacentral:rRNA from 1 species